CAGCCGUAAACUAUGCGCGUUAGGUGUAUCGGUGACCACGAGUUACCGAGGUGCCGAAGGGAAACCGUGAAACGUGCCGCCUGGGAAGUACGGUCGCAAGGCUGAAACUUAAAGGAAUUGGCGGGGGAGCACCACAACAGGUGGAGCCUGCGGUUUAAUUGGACUCAACGCCGGGAAGCUCACCGGAUAGGACAGCAGAAUGAUUGCCGGGCUGAAGACCCUGCAUGACUAGCUGAGAGGUGGUGCAUGGCGUCAGUGACUG
rnacentral:rRNA from 1 species